rnacentral:rRNA from 1 species
UACAGAGGGGGCAAGCGUUAUUCGGAAUUAUUGGGCGUAAAGAGCUCGUAGGCGGUUUGGUAAGUCGGGUGUGAAAUCUCCACGCUCAACGUGGAGGGGCCACUCGAUACUGCCAUGACUCGAGUCCGGUAGAGGAGUGUGGAAUUCCCGGUGUAGCGGUGAAAUGCGCAGAUAUCAGGAGGAACACCAAUGGCGAAGGCAGCUCGCUGGGACGGUACUGACGCUGAGACGCGAAAGCGUGGGGAGCGAACAGG